rnacentral:rRNA from 1 species
GAGACUCUGUGCGCGUGCAUAUCAAUAAGCGGAGGAAAAGAAACUAACAAGGAUUCCCCUAGUAACGGCGAAUGAAGCGGGAAGAGCUCAAAUUUGAAAUCUUAAAGGGUUUCCCUUUACGAAUUGUAGUUUAAAGAAGUGUUUUCUGUUGGAGUUUCGGUAAAAGUUCUUUGGAAUAGGACAUCAUAGAGGGUGAGAAUCCAGUAUUUGACCGUUACUUUCCUAGCUGUGUGAUACACUUUCAAAGAGUCGGAUUGUUUGGGAAUGCAGUCCAAAAUGGGUGGUAAAUUUCAUCUAAAGCUAAAUAUUGGCGAGAGACCGAUAGCGAACAAGUACCGUGAGGGAAGAUGAAAAGAACUUUGAAAAGAGAGUUAAACAGUACGUGAAAUUGUCAAAAGGGAAGCGCUUGACACCAGUGUUGUUUAGUUGAAAAUCAAUUCAAUAAUUUUUGAUUUUGAGUAGUAUUGACUUCAUCAGCUUGCUGCUUUCUUUUCAGGAAUUAUUGAAUGCACUUUUCAGUUAACAAGUCAACAUCAAUUUCUUUUGUUGUAAAAGGGUAAGAGGAAGGUGGCUUACCUUCGCGUGAAAGUGUUUAUAGCCUUUGACCUCUGCAAUCGGAGAGAUUGAGGACUAGCAGCGUAGACUCUUCGGGGUUAGAUACACUUGUGCUAAGCUAUAGCCUUGUAUAGGACAACUUGUUGACUAUGCUCAGUCAUGUAGCUUACUCGCUUGAUGCUAUUUUACCUACGCUUAGGAUGUUGACAGCAGUAUAGACUGU